rnacentral:rRNA from 1 species
AGGGUUCGAUUCUGGCUCAGAUUGAACGCUGGCGGCAUGCCUAACACAUGCAAGUCGAACGGUAACAGGUCUUCGGAUGCUGACGAGUGGCGGACGGGUGAGUAAUGCGUAGGAAUCUGUCUUUGAGUGGGGGACAACCCAGGGAAACUUGGGCUAAUACCGCAUAAGCCCUGAGGGGGAAAGCGGGGGAUCUUCGGACCUNGCGCUGGAAGAGGAGCCUACGUCUGAUUAGCUAGUUGGUAGGGUAAAGGCCUACCAAGGCGACGAUCGGUAGCUGGUCUGAGAGGACGACCAGCCACACUGGGACUGAGACACGGCCCAGACUCCUACGGGAGGCAGCAGUGAGGAAUUUUUCGCAAUGGGGGCAACCCUGACGAAGCAAUGCCGCGUGAAUGAAGAAGGCCUUCGGGUUGUAAAGUUCUUUCGUGGAGGACGAAAAGGAGGUGCUAAUAUC